UUGAAAAUGGAGCGGCGGGGGAGAGGAGAAUCUCGUUGCCAUCUCCUCCAUCGCUGAGGGAGAGAGAGGCGCGUCCACCCGACUCCUCUAGCCGAGGCCCGUUGAUCUGGUGGCGGCGGAGGAACACGGGAUCAUGCCGCGGUCGUGUCCGUGUUUUAGUGGAAAGACACAUCUCUGAUAUCGGUCCAAAAGGCGACGGAGAGGGAUCACUUCACAACCGGGAAAAACGCAGUUUUGCUGCAGGAGCUGGAGUUUGAAGCAGGGCAUGGUGUCAGCAGGCUGAGGCGUCCUGUUCAGGGGCUGUGCAGAGGAAGGAGACAGGCGGCUGUGAUCUGGCCUCUGCAUUCCAAGGCUGGUCCUCUCAGACCCUGCUUGGGUUCUGAUUCAUCUCAGUGAACAAUACCACAGAACUGUGGAACCAUUCAUGCAUUCAUUCAUCCAUCCAUUCAUUCAUUCAUUCGUAAUCUCUACUUGUUGGUUUGAAUAUAAUUUGACGAUCUGAUGAGCUGAAUCCCUUUAGAACUGGGUGGGGGGGUGCAGAUGCAUCAUAACCAGAUUCAGUCACAGGAAACAGAAUAACGGACUGGAGUGAUUCCCCUGGGAAUAACAGGCUGUAUGAAAAGAUAUAUGUACACUGAUUUACAUCUCAAUCUAGACACAGCGGAAUACCUCAGCACCCCCACGAACCCCAACCUGAAGAAACAGAGAGUGAGAAAGGAGGGAGAGAAAGAGAGAGAGGGAGAGAGGGAGAGCUAGCAGGUGAAAGAGAGACAUGAAGGGAGAGAGAGAAGCAGGUCUGCCUUAGGGAGUGAACCACAGUAUCCCCAAGGGACUGAACAAGACUGGGCCCUGCACUGUGUGUGUGUGUGGGUGUGGGUGUCACACACACACACACACACACACACACACACACACACACACACUGUAGCUUAGAGGGGAACAGUGUUAAUCUGAAGAAGUCCUGGUUCAACAUCUCUGUGUCUAUAGAACUCUGUGUGUAUUCUAAUUCAGCUACUCUGAAUCACAGACCAAUCAGAAACUCAAUCAUUUAGCAGAAUCACAAACAGACUGAUCAGAAACUCAAUCACUUAGCAGAAUCACAAACAGACCAAUCAGAAACUCAAUCAUUUAGCAGAAUCAAAAACAGACCAAUCAGAAACUCAAUAAUUUAGCAGAAUCA
ensembl:lncRNA